GACGUAGGGCGCGAGCGUUGUCCGGAUUUAUUGGGCGUAAAGAGCUCGUAGGCGGCUUGUUACGUCGAAUGUGAAAUUUUAGGGCUCAACCCUGACAUUGCAUUCGAUACGGGCAGGCUAGAGUUCGGUAGGGGAGACUGGAAUUCCUGGUGUAGCGGUGAAAUGCGCAGAUAUCAGGAGGAACACCGGUGGCGAAGGCGGGUCUCUGGGCCGAUACUGACGCUGAGGAGCGAAAGCGUGGGGAGCGAACAGG
rnacentral:rRNA from 1 species